AACGCACCUUGCGCUCCUUGGUAUUCCGAGGAGCAUGCCUGUUUGAGUGUCAUUAAAUUAUCAACCUCUUCAAGAGGCUUGGAUUUGGAGUGUUGCUGGCUUGUUGUUGGCUCCUCUUAAAUGAAUUAAGCUUGUGUGUAGGCUUUGGUUUGAUAAUAUCUAUGCCAUCGCUGUAAUGCAAAACAACCUUGAAAUUUGACCUCAAAUCAGGUAGGACUACCCGCUGAACUUAA
rnacentral:misc_RNA from 1 species